UUUCAUCAAGAAUGACGCAUUUUUAAUUACUAAAACCUAAUUAAUGAUUAUAUCACAGCAUGAUUAGCUAUGGUAGCUGAAAAAUAAAUCAAACUACAGAAUUAUAUAUUGUAUAAACUAGACUAUACAUUAUCAAAAUCAAUAUAUUCGCUUGAUUGUAUGACGAGCAAAGUUCGUCGUACUUAGUCGCAUAAGAACGGUUAGCGCUUGACAUUCUCACUUGAAGGAACAUUUAAAAUUACGUGGAAAAGGUUUUCAUGAGCUGUCCCCAUCUUGUAUUAUUGUGGAUUAAAGGAAUACCAAACGGUUUUCCGUGCAGGAUAGCACCAUGACCAGUACUAAACCCACCGUUAAUGAGAUCAAAAUGGAGAACUUCUCAUUGUUUUCAGUCAAAAUAUUUCCAAAACAAAGUCGGUAGAGAAGUUUUAUGGACGGGCCUAAGAAGAUGCUUUCUUUCUAUUUAAACAGCAACUCGUAAGCUUUGUGAUAUUUCUCGAAUACCUCAAAAGCUGUCAACUGCUGUUUAAACUGCCUACGUUUUUUCGAUACGAAAAGGCGCUGAAUUAUAAAAUUGACUUCAAACGCCGUAUAUUUUUUGACCACGUCCAACGAAAACAGUUGCCAAACUCAUGGUAUUUUUUUGAACGACCAGUUUCGACACUGGCUUAGUAUGUAAUUUUGAAAGUUCUAUCAAAUGAAACUUAAUUUUACUGCUAUAUCCCUUUAAUUAAAGGCGUUUUGUUUAAGGACACUUACAAACUAUAUCUCAAGCUCCACUUUCAUCAGUUUACUACAAAAUAUCCUAAAGAAAAAACAUGCAAAGCGAACAAAAUAUACAGAAAUACAAAAGAAUAGAAUCUCACACUUCGCGCGCUUGAAGGCAUCGCCACCCCCUUGCUACGAAAAACAUCCUCUCCCCCCGGCUCACACGAACGUAGCCAAAUUAGAGUCUUCUUCGUCAUCGUCGUCAAGGUCAUCCAAAGGAACUUUCUUCUCGUCGGAGUAGUGCGUACUGACUUCGUGCUUCUCAUCGUCACUGUCCGUAACAUCUUCGUCAUCGUCGAAGUCACCCGAAUGUCGGCUAGCGCUGCCGACCACGGAGUGGUAUGCUGGUGGCGGUUCGCUACGGCUCGUCACAACAGACCUAGAACUAAAUGGUUUGAAAAAAAACAAAACGUUUAGGGCAUGCUUCCCAAGUUAUAGCCACUUAGGGAGCGGUCAUUAGAGACCUUCCGAUUUUAGGACGACAACGCGACGGCGAAAACAAUCUCCUUCAAAUAAAUGGUAGUAAAGAUAGUUCGUGGUAUAUUAUCAAUCGUAUGAAUUUAAUACAGUUUUAGAAGUUGAAAAUAUGGGUUUUAUUGUUGGAAAGAGUUCUGCUGAACCCAGUUUGAAGUUGCACUUGUUGCGGCUUGAAAUGCAGCCGUUGUAUCAAGACGUGAAAAUCUGUGAUUUGGCGUUGUAAACAGAGCGAGG